UGAAUAGCCAAUGAUACCGCAGGUCAAUGGACUACUCAUACCACUACAGUAUCGAGAUAACCACUGAUGAAUGAUUAAAUAUCCAAUUAGUUUUUCAUGUUGGUCACAUUGAAUGCAAGUUGUUCUCUAACAACCACAUGCCCUUUCACCCAAGUAUCCCUACACUGCAGAUCUGAGACUCAUCUGUCCAGAAGGAAGGUGAUCCGUAUAUCGAUCUUAAAUAGACUAAUUACUAUCUUUUGUGGUGAUCCUUUGAUCCAGAGUAUUUAGAAACUAAUCACUAAUUAAUGUAUGUCUCAAAUUCUCAAUACCUUAAGAAUAUACAAAAUCAUCUUUGUUAAUUUUUAGGAUAAAUCAUGGACAUAUAAAUAUAAUUAAAAUAAAAAGAUAUUUUUUAUUUAAUAAUAAAAGUAUUAUAAGUAUAAAAAUAAGU
rnacentral:lncRNA from 1 species